CUUUCAUCUCCACACUUUUCUCUGUCUUAUUCCAAAACCCCAAUCCCAAAUCAAAAUCAUGGAAGCAAAAUUGAAGAAGCAAAAUGGAAAAUCAAACAUAUGAAAUCGAUCUACAUAAAGCCAUUGAUAGAGUUUUAACCAAGCAAACACUAUAAUGAAGGAGCAAAAGAAGCUGGUGUUUCCUCCUCAUUCGAUGUGCAUGCUCUUCGCGUGUGGCGUUUGUGAGGUAUUCAAUAAUCCGAGGGAGCGGCCUUUCACCUUUGAGGAUGAUAGAUGAAGUUCGAGAAAUGUUGGCAAACUUCAUUACCAGUGAUUCUCUUUGAUAUUUUCUUGUACUGAAUCUUAAAUUAUGCAUGCUAGCUAGUUUUUCAUAUGAUUGUAAUGUAAUUGAUUUUUAUAUUUACAAUUAUAUACUAUUUAAUUUAAUUAUCUAUAUAAUUGGAUACUUUUUAUAUGA